rnacentral:rRNA from 1 species
UGCAAGUCGAGCGGUAGAGAGAAGCUUGCUUCUCUUGAGAGCGGCGGACGGGUGAGUAAUGCCUAGGAAUCUGCCUGGUAGUGGGGGAUAACGCUCGGAAACGGACGCUAAUACCGCAUACGUCCUACGGGAGAAAGCAGGGGACCUUCGGGCCUUGCGCUAUCAGAUGAGCCUAGGUCGGAUUAGCUAGUUGGUGAGGUAAUGGCUCACCAAGGCGACGAUCCGUAACUGGUCUGAGAGGAUGAUCAGUCACACUGGAACUGAGACACGGUCCAGACUCCUACGGGAGGCAGCAGUGGGGAAUAUUGGACAAUGGGCGAAAGCCUGAUCCAGCCAUGCCGCGUGUGUGAAGAAGGUCUUCGGAUUGUAAAGCACUUUAAGUUGGGAGGAAGGGCAGUAACCUAAUACGUUAUUGUUUUGACGUUACCGACAGAAUAAGCACCGGCUAACUCUGUGCC